rnacentral:rRNA from 1 species
UACGUAGGGACCAAGCGUUGUUCGGAUUUACUGGGCGUAAAGGGCGCGUAGGCGGCGCGGUAAGUCACUUGUGAAAUCUCUGAGCUUAACUCAGAACGGCCAAGUGAUACUGCAGUGCUAGAGUGCGGAAGGGGCAAUCGGAAUUCUUGGUGUAGCGGUGGAAUGCGUAGAGAUCCGGAAGAACACCGGUGGCGAAGGCGGCCUGCUGGGCAGUAGCUGACGCUGAUGCGCGACAGCGUGGGGAGCAAACAGG